rnacentral:rRNA from 1 species
AUGACCUGGGCUACACACGUGCUACAAUGGAUGGUACAAAGGGCAGCGAAGCCGCAAGGUGUAGCAAAUCCCAUAAAACCAUUCUCAGUUCGGAUUGCAGGCUGCAACUCGCCUGCAUGAAGCCGGAAUCGCUAGUAAUCGCGGAUCAGCAUGCCGCGGUGAAUACGUUCCCGGGCCUUGUACACACCGCCCGUCACACCACGAGAGUUGGCAACACCCGAAGUCGGUGAGGUAACCUUUAUGGAGCCAGCCGCCGAAGGUGGGGCCAAUGAUUGGGGUGAAGUCGUAACAAGGUAGCCGUAUCGGAAGGUGCGGUUGGAUCACCUCCUCA